UCCGAAUUUUAGUUAAGUAGUCAGUUGUGUUCAAUAAAGAUGUCUCAAUACGUUCUAUUAUUAAUAUUCGUGCUUUUAGUUUCCUCAUGUAGAGGUAAAGAUGCAUCUGAAGAGGCAAUCAAUACAAUAGAGGUAUCUGGUACAUCGAGUGCAUCAGACGGCAGCAUCAGUGUUGGCGUAAUAUCGAACUCCGAAAUCGGGAACGAAAGUUUCCAAGCGACAACAAAACAAAGACCAGUAUGCGGCAUCGUAGAAGAAUUUCUUUCUUAUUUUAUGACAACUAAUUGUUGACUAUAUUUCAAUAAAUCAAAGAUCACAGAGCUGAGAAACAGCAAUAUAUUCGGAGCAGUCUAAAUAAGUUAAUUGAAUGCAAUUAAAUCUAGUAAAGAAAAAACAUGAUGUUA